rnacentral:rRNA from 1 species
GGGUCAGUAGGUUGGUCGUGCCACCGGUACGUACUGGUCUCACUGAUUCCUCCUUCCUGAAGAACCGUAAUGCCAUUAAUUUGGUGUUGCGGGGAAACAGGACUGUUACUUUGAAAAGAUUAGAGUGUUUAAAGCAAGCUAACGCUUAAAUACAUUAGCAUGGAAUAAUGAAAUAGGACGAUCGAUCCUAUUUUGUUGGUUUCUAGGAUUGACGUA